rnacentral:rRNA from 1 species
GGGAAUGAGGGGGCAGAGGGCGUGGGAAGACGAGGGGGGUGUGCGUUGGUCGGAAUUACGGGGCGUAAAGCGCGCGCAGGCGGUUUUUCAAGUAAGUGUGGAAAGCCCGGAGCUCAACGCGGGAAUUGCCAUUGAAACUGUAGAACUUGAGUACGGGAGAGGUGAGUGGAAUUCCCAGUGUAGAGGUGAAAUUCGUAGAUAUUGGGAAGAACACCGGUGGCGAAGGCGGCUCACUGGCUCGUAACUGACGCUCAGGCGCGAAAGCGUGGGGAGCGAACAGGAUUAGAUACCCCAGUAGUC